ACUGUGCGAGAAGGUGUGUGAGUGUGUAAGUGCAAGCGGUUUCCGACUUUGUGAUCGUUGUAGAGCAUUGAUAUAUAUAAAACCUUCUGUGUCAUAAUAUAUAAGUUUAGUGUGUAUAUAUCUAUCGUGCUACAGUAAGAAUUUAGCUUAGGCAUCACAGUAAAAUGGUGUAAAAUACGAGCGGCAUCCCCGUGUUCAAGGGAGCCUCCUCUCCCAAGGUUAUAUCCUCGUCUUCGGAACUCUUUACUUCAAGAACAGAUUGUGAUGUUGUUGUGAUCGAGGCCGGACUCUUCCGCCUUCACAUCAACACGCUGGUCUUCCACCUGUGCCAACAUCCACCAAAAUGCCGCUCAGUUCAGGUAAGGACCCGAGAACCGCCAUGACCUCUCAUCACCCUGCGGUAAUGAAUAGGAUGCUGAAUGCGAAGUCAUCCCUGCGAACAGUCUGAGGAAUAGAGAGUGAGUGAGUGAGUUAGUGAGUGAGUGAGUGA